CCUACGGGUGGCAGCAGUGGGGAAUAUUGGGCAAUGGGCGCAAGCCUGCCCCAGCAACGCCGCGUGAAGGAAGAAUGCUUUCGGGUUGUAAACUUCUUUUCUCAGGGACGAAGCAAGUGACGGUACCUGCGGAAUAAGCCACGGCUAACUACGUGCCAGCAGCCGCGGUAAUACGUAGGUGGCAAGCGUUAUCCGGAUUUACUGGGUGUAAAGGUCGUGUAGGCGGGGACGCAAGUCAGAUGUGAAAACCACGGGCGCAACCUGUGGCCUGCAUUUUAAACUGUGGUUCUUGAGUACUGGAGAGGCAGACGGAAUUCCGAGUGUAGCGGUGAAAUGCGUAGAUAUUAGGAGGAACAACAGUGGCGAAGGCGGUCUGCUGGACAGCAACUGACGCUGAGGCGCGAAAGCGUGGGGAGCAAACAGGAUUAGAUACCCGAGUAGUC
rnacentral:rRNA from 1 species